rnacentral:rRNA from 1 species
ACCCUUUAACGUUUGAUGUUCUAACCCGGGUCCAUAAUCUGGAUCGGGGACCGUGUCUGGUGGGUAGUUUGACUGGGGCGGUCUCCUCCCAAAGAGUAACGGAGGAGCACGAAGGUUGGCUAAGCAUGGUCGGACAUCAUGCGGUUAGUGCAAAGGCAUAAGCCAGCUUGACUGCGAGAGUGACGGCUCGAGCAGGUACGAAAGUAGGUCUUAGUGAUCCGGUGGUUCUGAAUGGAAGGGCCAUCGCUCAACGGAUAAAAGGUACUCCGGGGAUAACAGGCUGAUACCGCCCAAGAGUUCAUAUCGACGGCGGUGUUUGGCACCUCGAUGUCGGCUCAUCACAUCCUGGGGCUGAAGUAGGUCCCAAGGGUAUGGCUGUUCGCCAUUUAAAGUGGUACGCGAGCUGGGUUUAGAACGUCGUGAGACAGUUCGGUCCCUAUCUGCCGUGGGCGCUGGAAGAUUGAGAGGGGUUGCUCCUAGUACGA